GCUUGCUUGGGCAGAACAUAUACUAAAACGAAAACAAUACAGAGAAGAUUAGCAUGGUCCCUGCAUAAGGAUGACACGCAAGUUCAUGAAGUGUUCCAUGUUAAA
ensembl:snRNA U6 U6 spliceosomal RNA